rnacentral:lncRNA from 1 species
AACAUCCCUCGUUCCUCUCGCUCAUCCUUCUUAUCUUCCCUUUCUCAUGGCAAAGACAAAGCUGUCCCACCCUUCAGCUUCGACGUAGCGUGGAGUUUAUAUCUCUGGCCUUUGCUCUCCGCUGUGCUGCUGUUGACAGUUUCCUGGCCAGCGAGCAAAGAACAGUGUAAAUUCGUGCUGCACACCAAUCUGUGACUAAUGAAUGAAGACCUUGGCAGGAGAAAUCCCGGUUAGAAGGCUGAAAAACUCAAUCCAAACUUCUUUUCUCAGAACGUUGAAGGAUUGUAAAGAGUAGUUUUGAAGAUGAAGACUCGGAGGGAGAGUGCCUCUCUGCGUGAGCUUACUUACAUAUAAAAGGGGGACCGAAAGGUGUAA